rnacentral:rRNA from 1 species
CGGCAGGCCUAACACAUGCAAGUCGAACGGUAACAGGAAGCAGCUUGCUGUUUCGCUGACGAGUGGCGGACGGGUGAGUAAUGUCUGGGAAACUGCCUGAUGGAGGGGGAUAACUACUGGAAACGGUAGCUAAUACCGCAUAACGUCGCAAGACCAAAGAGGGGGACCUUCGGGCCUCUUGCCAUCGGAUGUGCCCAGAUGGGAUUAGCUAGUAGGUGGGGUAACGGCUCACCUAGGCGACGAUCCCUAGCUGGUCUGAGAGGAUGACCAGCCACACUGGAACUGAGACACGGUCCAGACUCCUACGGGAGGCAGCAGUGGGGAAUAUUGCACAAUGGGCGCAAGCCUGAUGCAGCCAUGCCGCGUGUAUGAAGAAGGCCUUCGGGUUGUAAAGUACUUUCAGCGGGGAGGAAGGGAGUAAAGUUAAUACCUUUGCUCAUUGACGUUACCCGCAGAAGAAGCACCGGCUAACUCCGUGCCAGCAGCCGCGGUAAUACGGAGGGUGCAAGCGUUAAUCGGAAUUACUGGGCGUAAAGCGCACGCAGGCGGUUUGUUAAGUCAGAUGUGAAAUCCCCGGGCUCAACCUGGGAACUGCAUCUGAUACUGGCAAGCUUGAGUCUCGUAGAGGGGGGUAGAAUUCCAGGUGUAGCGGUGAAAUGCGUAGAGAUCUGGAGGAAUACCGGUGGCGAAGGCGGCCCCCUGGACGAAGACUGACGCUCAGGUGCGAAAGCGUGGGGAGCAAACAGGAUU